rnacentral:lncRNA from 1 species
CUUCUGUGGCUGUGGGCAUGGAAUCCUUGCACAGAAUCCGGAUUCCUUGAGACUCGACACCAUAGAUGGAAGAACCACUUCAGCUGUCAAGACUGAAAGGCUCUCAAGCACGGUGGCCAGAGGCAUGGAGAUAAUGGUGGCAUCUGCUUUUCUUCCUGAGAACUGCAGAGCAGACAGGCCCUCCUGGGAAAAGCCUGAGAGGGAGCAGACACUUUUCUGGCUGGAAGCAAAGCUCUCUGAUGGUUCUGGUGAGUCUUCCUCCUUGCACCUGGCCACUUGGGUUUCCCCUAACUCUACCUGUAGGUCUCUUAAAACCUGAGCAUCCCCUUCGAACCUUACAGCUGGAGAAUCACAGAAACCUCUGGCUGGAUCCAAUAGCUACUGGUGUUUUACAAAUCCACACUGCAAUCUACAGCC